GACAGUGCGGCCUGAUCCGCGGCGCCGGCCGAAUCGCCGGCACCCCGUCCGCGUCCGCCGUGCAUUCGUUUCCUCGACGCGGUGUGCCGGAAACAAUGAAUGAAAAUGUGUGCGACCCCAUUACACCAAAUGCGCAUCGCGACGAAAGCGGCCCGCAUGAUCACCCGAUUAAAUGCGAUGUAAACAAAAAAUCUCGACGUGUCAAAAAAUGAUGCUAAACUGAUUAAUGAUGCUAAUUAAACUAUUAUCACACGUGCUAAUCAAAUUGAAUAUUCUUCUUAUCAUCUCGAUUGACAUCGUUCCUGCAAUUGGUACAAUUCACGCUUGGGCAAUAAACGUAAUUAUGGAUGUACGUAAAUUAACAGUGAUUCGUGCACAACUACCAUGGGACAGUUUAAUGCAAGUUAGACUGAAUUGUGCGGAGAAUGGCGAAAUAUUUGCGGAAAUGCUCCAGAGACUAGAUUCGGAAAUUGAGGAUGAUGAUUCUCAUUCUGCAAGAAAAUAUCCACAAUAAUCGCACAUCGCGGGAUGACUGUGUAGUGUAUAAAAAAAUAUACUUGAUGUAUAAAUAUAAAAAAAGAAAAGAUCCUACAAGAUAUUUUCAAGAGUACUAAAUAAAAAAAGAAAAUGAAGAAUAAC